rnacentral:rRNA from 1 species
GCCGUAGUAGGUCAGCGCAGGGGUGACACGGAAUGGGAGCCGGCCGCGGAGGUGGUUUUCCGUGGUCAAGCACGCAGCCAGUCAUGUAGGCAAAUCCGCAUGGCGCGCAUGGCGAGGUGUGAUGAUGGGAGCCGUUAUGGCUCGAUAUCCGGUUGUCCAGGCCGUCGAGAAAAGCCUCGGCGUGAGGGCCAUGGCCGCCCGUACCCCAAACCGACACUGGUGGUCAGGUAGAGAAUACCAAGGCGAUCGAGCGAAUCCUGGUCAAGGAACUCGGCAAAUCACUCCCGUGCCUUCGGUAUAAGGGAGACCCGCUGGGGUGAACCGGCUAGCCCGGGGAGCUUUGGUGGGUGGCACAGACCAGGGGGUAGCGACUGUUUACCAAAAACACAGGUGCAUGCGAAGGCGCAAGCCGCUGUAUAUGCACUGACGCCUGCCCGGUGCCGGAAGGUUAAGAGGAUCCGUCAGUCCCUUUUGGGGUGAAGCGGUGAAUUCAAGCCCCGGUAAACGGCGGUGGUAACUAUAACCAUCCUAAGGUAGCGAAAUUCCUUGUCGGGUAAGUUCCGACCUGCACGAAUGGCGUAACGACUUCCCCACUGUCUCGACCAGGAGCUCGGCGAAAUUGCAGUACGAGUAAAGAUGCUCGUUAAGCGCAGAAGGACGAAAAGACCCCGGGACCUUUACUAUACCUUGGUAUUGGCAUUCGGUGUGGAUUGUGUAGCAUAGGCGGGAGGCCGAGAGGCGCGGUCGCCAGAUCGCGCGGAGCCGUAAGGUGAAAUACCGCUCUGUUCGCAUUGGAUGUCUAACCUCGAACAGUCAUCCUGUUCAGGGACAGUGCCUGGCGGGUAGUUUAACUGGGGCGGUUGCCUCCCAAAGAGUAACGGAGGCGCCCAAAGGUCCGCUCAGCCCGGUUGGCAAUCGGGUGGCGAGUGCAAGUGCACAAGCGGGCUUGACUGCGAGGACGACGGUCCGAGCAGGGACGAAAGUCGGGACUAGUGAUCCGGUGCCGGUGUACGGACGCGGCAUCGCUCAACGGAUAAAAGGUACUCCGGGGAUAACAGGCUGAUCAUUCCCAAGAGCUCAUAUCGACGGAAUGGUUUGGCACCUCGAUGUCGGCUCGUCGCAUCCUGGGGCUGGAGCAGGUCCCAAGGGUUCGGCUGUUCGCCGAUUAAAGCGGCACGCGAGCUGGGUUCAGAACGUCGUGAGACAGUUUGGUCUCUAUCCUCUGCGCUCGUUGGAAUGCUGAGGAGGCCUGCCCAUAGUACGAGAGGACCUGGGUGGACGAACCUCUGGUAUGCCGGUUGUCACGCCAGUGGCACGGCCGGUUGGCUACGUUCGGAAGGGAUAACCGCUGAAAGCAUCUAAGCGGGAAGCCUGCUCCAAGAUAAGCAUUCCGUGGAACCUUCGAGUUCCUGUAGUCCCCAUGCAGAACACGUGGUCGAUAGGCCGGACGUGGAAGCCCCGCGAGGGGUGGAGCGACCGGUACUAACGGACGAAAGGCAACACCAA